rnacentral:tRNA from 1 species
GGAGAUCUAGUUCAGUGGUUAGAGUAAUUGCCUAGCAUGCAAGAAAUCCUGGGAUUGAUUCCCAACACUGCA